CCCUUAGUAGCGGCGAGCGAACAGGGAUUAGCCCAUAACCGAAUCCUGCAGCUUUUGCUGUUAGGAAAUGUGGUGUUUGGUUCGAUCCUUGCGGCAUGCUGGAGUUGUUUUAAGUCCACGUGAUUGUGGCUUCAAGCCCAAAGAGGGUGUAAGGCCCGUAUAAACAAUACAGUAUGUCCAUGGGUUGCUCCUAGAGUCGGGUUGUUUGGGAUUGCAGCCCAAAUCGGGUGGUAAACUCCAUCCAAGGCUAAAUACAACACGAGUCCGAUAGCGAACAAGUAUUAUGAAAGAAAGUUGAAAAGAACUUUGAAGAGAGAGUUCAACAGUGCGUGAAACCGCUUAAGAGAAAACCGGGCAGAGCUGAAGGAAAGUUUGUAUAUUUGUAUUUCGUUGAGGCCAUGUGCCGGGUGCUGUGAUAGGUUAACUACGCAGUCCGGUGUGUGCGCUUGAGCGUUGUGCUAUUAUACAUUCUUGACACCAAGAUCAGUUGUUAGACUGGCCAUGUCAUGCUGGAGAAAGGUGACUCUGGAGUUAAUCUAGAGUGUUAUAGCCUCUGCGUACAGCGCCAGUUGAGAACUGUUAUGCGAUGCAAGCCAUUGUGGCGCACAAGAUGUGGCGUGGUAAGAAGUAGCUAUUUCAACUCAAUAAGAGAUGGUUUAGCUAUCUGACGAUCAUGUCGUGUCCUCUGUGUGUUGUAUCAACAAUCAUUGGUGAAAUGGUAGGUCAUCUGCCCGACCCGUCUUGAAACACGGACCAAGGAGUUUAGCAUGCGCGCGAGUCAUGGGGUUAUACGAAACCUAAAGGCGCAGUGAAAGUAAAGGCUUGCCUUGUGCAGGCUUCGGUAGGAUCCUGGCUUUCAAUGUGUGGCAACAUACAUGGGCUAGGCGCACUACCAGCUCGUCCCAUGCUUUAUUAAGUGGGGCGACGCAAGAGCGCACAUGCUGAGACCCGAAAGAUGGUGAACUAUGCCUGUGUAGGUUGAAGCCAGAGGAAACUCUGGUGGAGGACCGUAGCAAUUCUGACGUGCAAAUCGAUUGUCAAACAUGGGUAUAGGGGCGAAAGACUAAUCGAACCAUCUAGUAGCUGGUUCCCUCCGAAGUUUCCCUCAGGAUAGCUGGCACUCGGGAAACAAACAGUUUUAUCCGGUAAAGCGAAUGAUUAGCAGUAUUGGGGAUGACAUAUCCUCAACUGAUUCUCAAACUUUAAAUGGGUGAGAUGCUCAACUCUCUUAAAUUAUGGAGUUGGGCUUUUGAAUGUGAGUGCCUAGUGGGCCAUUUUUGGUAAGCAGAACUGGCGCUGUGGGAUGAACCAAACGUCUGGUUAAGGAGCCAAACGCAACGCUCAUGAGAAACCACAAAAGGUGUUGGUUGAUUUAGACAGCAGGACGGUGGCCAUGGAAGUCGGAAUCCGCUAAGGAGUGUGUAACAACUCACCUGCCGAAUCAACCAGCCCUGAAAAUGGAUGGCGCUUGAGCGUUGGUCCUAUACCAGACCGUUACCGCGAGAUCAAAGUAUGUGGUAACGAGUAGGAGGGCGCCGUGGUGAGCAUAGAAGCCUUGGUCGUGAGACUGGGUGGAGCCGCCACGGGUGCAGAUCUUGGUGGUAGUAGCAAAUAUUCAAGUGAGAACCUUGAAGACUGAAGU
rnacentral:rRNA from 1 species